GUGGGGAAUAUUGGACAAUGGGGGGAACCCUGAUCCAGCCAUGCCGCGUGUGUGAAGAAGGCCUUUUGGUUGUAAAGCACUUUAAGCGAGGAGGAGGCUACCGAGAUUAAUACUCUUGGAUAGUGGACGUUACUCGCAGAAUAAGCACCGGCUAACUCUGUGCCAGCAGCCGCGGUAAUACAGAGGGUGCAAGCGUUAAUCGGAUUUACUGGGCGUAAAGCGCGCGUAGGUGGCCAAUUAAGUCAAAUGUGAAAUCCACGAGCUUAACUUGGGAAUUGCAUUAGAUACUGGUUGGCUAGAGUAUGUGAGAGGAUGGGAGAAUUCCAGGUGUAGCGGUGAAAUGCGUAGAGAUCUGGAGGAAUACCGAUGGCGAAGGCAGCCAUCUGGCCUAAUACUGACACUGAGGUGCGAAAGCAUGGGGAGCAAACAGGAUUAGAAACCCCUGUAGUCC
rnacentral:rRNA from 1 species